UUUAAACACUAGCUAUUCGAUUAGUUCUUUUCUCAACUAUCAUUCAGGUUCGAUUAGUUCUUUUACUACAAAGAGUUUCGUUAGUGAAUUUGAGAGUUUUUUCAUGAUGGAUUUUAAAUAGCAAUGUAGUAGGAGUGACUUCAUGUCGGCAAUUGGUGGUAUACGGUGAUACUAUUACAUUUUUGGCUCCGUUUGAGCAGCCAUGGGUUUCAAAAGGAUGGAUUUAAUAGUAGCAUUCAACAAAAACAGCCCCAAAUCUUCCCCACUUGAUGUACCCUUAUCAAGUUUCUUAAUAACAUUUUGCCGUUUCAAAAAAAAAAAAAAAAAUGGCCCCAAUUUUGAUUUGGUAGUGUGCUUAAGAACUUUCUUUGAGAGCUUAGUCAAUGAUUGUGGUUAGAGUAUUUCUAGUCAUUGUACUUUUACUCCAAUUUGAGUUCAAACUUCAUUUGUUAUUUAGCACUCCGAUGGACAAACUCAAAUCUUGGCACAAACAUGAGCCAAAAGCUACAUUAAUGACAUGGUGCUUGGAUUGGAGAGGUGAAGAGGGUUACAAAAGAGACCAAUGUAGCAGUGAGAAUAAACUUGGAUGGUUCGGGCAUAGCUGAUAGCAGCACUGAGAUCCCUUUUCUUGACCACAUGUUUGAUGUUAGUGAUUAAUCUGGGAACUUCAAUUGGAAAAGUUGGCUUUCUUGGAGGGGCAAGCCAAAAGCUCAUUUGACACACAUUGAAACCUUAAGUACUGAAACACAACAUAUGAGUUCAGAAUUUUGUGUGCUGGAAUCACUUGCUACAGCUGUUCCGGCUAUACAAGAACUCCUUUUGCUGUUCUUAUGAAAUAUCCUUUUUGUAUAACUGCUCUCAUUCAGUUACUUACUCUGAGGACUUGUUUUUAUCAGCUUGUACCUUAUUCACUAAUAUUUUCUGGGCAAAGGUUAGUUUUCCUCUAGCUUCUAUUUUCCUGACUUCACAAGUCAUUUUGGCUUACCCACAUUUGUCUUUGUUCCAUACAUAAUGUAUGCUAAAACACCUAUUCUGUCUUUAGUUAGAGGGGUAGUUUUAAUCGAUUGGGAGUUAAGGCUUGGUUUGGUUUGGUUAUUGGAUUUCAUGGAAAGGAAAGUUUUUUUGUUGCAUAUUUCCGACAUUAUGUGAAAGCUCAUUUGUAUGCAUUUUAUAUCCUAUGUUGCAUUUUGUUUUUGGGAGAAAACAAUUGAUUGGUAGAAUUAGAAACAAACACCUUCUUGAAAUGAUAGGUGCAACACCAAUAGAAGAUAAGAUGUGGAAAAAUGCAUUACGGCAAUUUGGACAUGUUAUUAUGGAUAGGCUGGCACUAGAGUUAGGAAGAGUGAUAUGGUUACGGUAGUGGGUAACACUUAGAUAUACCGGUAUCGACUUUAGAUGUGUAGGUUUAAUUGAUUGGAAGUAGAGGCUCGGUUUGCUUUGGUUAUUGGAUAUCAAGGAAAGGAAAGUUUAUGUUACGUAUUAUCAACGUUAUGUGAAAGCUCAUUUAUAUGCAUUUUAUGUCUAAUGUUGCAUUUUGUUUUUGGGAGAAAAUAAUUGAUUGAUUUGUUAUAAUCAUGGUGAUAGAUUAUUGUUAAUUGAUUCUUAAUUCACGUAGAAACAUUGAGCUUAUUUGGUUUUGCAAUAGCUUUGGGGCCUAUUGUGUUUUCAAAGAAGCCUCUAAUGUGCAAUAUCCACCUUAUUUGUGCUGUGGAAAGAUGAUGUUUAACUGAAUAGGUUUUUGCCCUUGAAAUUAUCAGGAGAUGGUAUCUGAUAUUGCUAUGAAAUGGUAAAAACUUUCAAGAACUGGCACUAUCGAGACAAAGUUUAUGGGUUUUGAUUUUGGCACGAUUAUGUUCACUAUGGAGGAAGACCAAGACUCUUUGGAGUUUGUACUGAACGAACCUGAAGCAUACGAGAUUAAGAUAGAAGAUCAAGUUUUCUGAAGACCAGGAGAUCCUCCUUUUGAACUACUUCUCGAGAAGCUCCAAAAUGACAGAGACACAACAAAUAAUGCCAGUCCUAGAAAGAUGAGUUGUAGAUUGCUUGAAAUCCUUUCGGCAUCCAAAUCAAGAGCUCUUAAGGAUUAUUUUGUGCAGUUCAUCUUUUUGAUAAUACUGGUUUUCAUUCCUUUCUAAUCGUUGUCAUGAAAUCGAUACUUCAAUUUCAAGAGUUUUUUUUUACAGAGUGUAAGUCCUUGAAUUUUGUUUCUAUGUUCUGGUCUUUGUUAAGUGAGUCUCGCUCCAUUCGGUUCAUUUGAUCAUUUUUCGAUUUAUAUUUCUAUAAUGGAAUAGUUCAUGCGCGGUCAUAUAAAUAGAUUACAUUAAAAUUCAUUGUAUUUCAAUAAGCUCUUGCUAUUUAUCUGCUACCAUCACUACAAAAACUGAAAACACUUCUCGACUAUCAAUUAAUCCAAUGAGCACGCGAAAACGUGCAGAGCACGAGCCGUAUAUACGGAAAUGUGUUUGAUCGAGUGUUUUGUAGGUUAGCAGCUAGGAUGUGGACGAGUGAUGGUGGACUUGUUAGCAAUAGUGGAAGCUUAUCCAAAGCCCGAUGACAAGAUUAGAAGCACUAGCUUGAAGGCGUAAACUUUCAGGUUACAAAAGGCUUGCUUCUAUAAUGGUUUGUGGCGGUGGGAGCGGGGCCGACCCAAGCAGCUACAACAGCAAAGCUUGAGCCUUUUUCAGCCAAAAAACAGUUAAAAAGGAAGUUAGCUUGCCAGGAUUCAAACUUGAACUUGAACAUUUUAUAAGGCAAGGAAGCGCCUUACCACUAAACCAACAAAGGCACUUGUUUCAUUCUAUGAACAAAUACUAUAUAUCUAUACACUUGUAAUAAAAGAACGAACGAGGGCGAGCCAAGCCACGUUGAGAAAUUACGAAUUUGCCCUCUGUCAGUUUUGUCUUCCAGUUUUUUUUUUUUUUUUUUGCAUUGUGUUGAGGUGUGGGUAGUUUAGGUAAUUUAUCUUUUUCUUAUUUCACGCAAUAACCUGUACUUCCUUCCGGCGCUCGAUUGAGAGUGAGAGAGACGAAGACGAGUGUUUCGUUGCCCGGAUUUUACUCCA